rnacentral:rRNA from 1 species
UACAGAGGUCUCAAGCGUUGUUCGGAUUCAUUGGGCGUAAAGGGUGCGUAGGCGGCGCGGUAAGUCAGGUGUGAAAUCUUGGAGCUUAACUCCGAAACUGCAUUCGAUACUGCCGUGCUUGAGGACUGGAGAGGAGACUGGAAUUUACGGUGUAGCGGUGAAAUGCGUAGAUAAUCGUAAGGAAGACCAGUGGCGAAGGCGGGUCUCUGGACAGUUCCUGACGCUGAGGCACGAAGGCCAGGGGAGCAAACGGG